rnacentral:rRNA from 1 species
CCUACGCGCGGCAGCAGUGAGGAAUAUUGGUCAAUGGGCGCAAGCCUGAACCAGCCAAGUCGCGUGAGGGAUGACGGUCCUAUGGAUUGUAAACUUCUUUUGUCGGGGAACAAAGGCGGAGACGCGUCUCCGUAUGAGUGUACCCGAAGAAAAAGCAUCGGCUAACUCCGUGCCAGCAGCCGCGGUAAUACGGAGGAUGCGAGCGUUAUCCGGAUUUAUUGGGUUUAAAGGGUGCGUAGGCGGGAGAUCAAGUCAGCGGUAAAAUGUCGGGGCUCAACCCCGGCCGGCCGUUGAAACUGGUUGUCUAGAGUUGGAGAGAAGUAUGCGGAAUGCGUGGUGUAGCGGUGAAAUGCAUAGAUAUCACGAAGAACUCCGAUUGCGAAGGCAGCAUACCGGCUCCAUACUGACGCUGAGGCACGAAAGCGUGGGGAUCGAACAGGAUUAGAUACCCUAGUAGUC